UACGUAGGGUGCAAGCGUUGUCCGGAAUUAUUGGGCGUAAAGAGCUCGUAGGCGGUCUGUCGCGUCUGCUGUGAAAACUCAGGGCUUAACCCUGAGCUUGCAGUGGGUACGGGCAGACUAGAGUGCGGUAGGGGAGACUGGAAUUCCGUGGUGUAGCGGUGAAAUGCGCAGAUAUCAGGAGGAACACCGGUGGCGAAGGCGGGUCUCUGGGCCGUAACUGAACGCUGGAGGAG
rnacentral:rRNA from 1 species